UAUACGGAGUUACAAAGGACGACAUUAGACGAAUCAUCUGGAAAGAUGAAUCAAAGAAGGUAAUAAUCCUGUAGUCGAAAAUGUUGUCUCUCUUGAGUGGAUCCUGAGUACGACGGAGCACGUGAAAUUCCGUCGGAAUCUGGGAGGACCAUCUCCUAAGGCUAAAUACUCUCUAGUGACCGAUAGUGAACCAGUACCGUGAGGGAAAGGUGAAAAGCACCCCGGAAGGGGAGUGAAAUAGAACCUGAAACCGUGUGCUUACAAGUAGUCAGAGCCCGUUAAUGGGUGAUGGCGUGCCUUUUGUAGAAUGAACCGGCGAGUUACGAUUUGAUGCAAGGUUAAGCAGUAAAUGUGGAGCCGUAGCGAAAGCGAGUCUGAAUAGGGCGUUUAGUAUUUGGUCGUAGACCCGAAACCAGGUGAUCUACCCUUGGUCAGGUUGAAGUUCAGGUAACACUGAAUGGAGGACCGAACCGACUUACGUUGAAAAGUGAGCGGAUGAACUGAGGGUAGCGGAGAAAUUCCAAUCGAACCUGGAGAUAGCUGGUUCUCUCCGAAAUAGCUUUAGGGCUAGCCUCAAGUGAUGAUUAUUGGAGGUAGAGCACUGUUUGGACGAGGGGCCCCUCUCGGGUUACCGAAUUCAGACAAACUCCGAAUGCCAAUUAAUUUAACUUGGGAGUCAGAACAUGGGUGAUAAGGUCCGUGUUCGAAAGGGAAACAGCCCAGACCACCAGCUAAGGUCCCAAAAUAUAUGUUAAGUGGAAAAGGAUGUGGCGUUGCCCAGACAACUAGGAUGUUGGCUUAGAAGCAGCCAUCAUUUAAAGAGUGCGUAAUAGCUCACUAGUCGAGUGACACUGCGCCGAAAAUGUACCGGGGCUAAACAUAUUACCGAAGCUGUGGAUUGUCCUUUGGACAAUGGUAGGAGAGCGUUCUAAGGGCGUUGAAGCAUGAUCGUAAGGACAUGUGGAGCGCUUAGAAGUGAGAAUGCCGGUGUGAGUAGCGAAAGACGGGUGAGAAUCCCGUCCACCGAUUGACUAAGGUUUCCAGGGGAAGGCUCGUCCGCUCUGGGUUAGUCGGGUCCUAAGCUGAGGCCGACAGGCGUAGGCGAUGGAUAACAGGUUGAUAUUCCUGUACCACCUAUAAUCGUUUUAAUCGAUGGGGGG
rnacentral:rRNA from 1 species